rnacentral:rRNA from 1 species
UGGGGAAUUUUGGACAAUGGGGGCAACCCUGAUCCAGCCAUCCCGCGUGUGCGAUGAAGGCCUUCGGGUUGUAAAGCACUUUUGGCAGGGAAGAAACGGCGCCGGAUAAUACCUGGCGCAACUGACGGUACCUGCAGAAUAAGCACCGGCUAACUACGUGCCAGCAGCCGCGGUAAUACGUAGGGUGCAAGCGUUAAUCGGAAUUACUGGGCGUAAAGCGUGCGCAGGCGGUUCGGAAAGAAAGAUGUGAAAUCCCAGAGCUUAACUUUGGAACUGCAUUUUUAACUGCCGAGCUAGAGUAUGUCAGAGGGGGGUAGAAUUCCACGUGUAGCAGUGAAAUGCGUAGAGAUGUGGAGGAAUACCGAUGGCGAAGGCAGCCCCCUGGGAUAAUACUGACGCUCAUGCACGAAAGCGUGGGGAGCAAACAGG